rnacentral:piRNA from 1 species
UGAGACUUGCCUUGGUCAUGGUGUCUGU